GUGGGGAAUAUUGGGCAAUGGGGGAAACCCUGACCCAGCGACGCCGCGUGAGGGAAGACGGCCUUCGGGUUGUAAACCUCUUUUGUACGGGAAGAAGAGCGUGACGGUACCACACGAGGAAGUCCCGGCUAACUACGUGCCAGCAGCCGCGGUAAUACGUAGGGGACGAGCGUUGUCCGGAUUUACUGGGCGUAAAGGGCGCGUAGGCGGUCAUUUAAGUCAGCUGUGAAAUGGUUUGGCUUAACCGGAUCAUGCGGUUGAAACUGGAUGACUGGAGUGCUGGAGAGGCAAGUGGAAUUCCCAGUGUAGCGGUGAAAUGCGUAGAUAUUGGGAAGAACACCGGUGGCGAAGGCGACUUGCUGGCCAGCAACUGACGCUGAGGCGCGAAAGCCAGGGGAGCAAACGGGAUUAGAUACCCUUGUAGUCC
rnacentral:rRNA from 1 species